rnacentral:rRNA from 1 species
AAUAGUAAGUUCUUAGUGGGCCAUUUUUGGUAAGCAGAACUGGCGAUGUGGGAUGAACCAAACGUAAAGUUAAAGUGCCUAAAAAUACGUUCAUCAGAUACCACAAAAGGUGUUGAUUCAUCUUGACAGUUGGACAGUGGCCAUGGAAGUCGGAAUCUGCUAAGGAGUGUGUAACAACUCACCAACCGAAUGAAUUAGCCCUGAAAAUGGAUGGCGCUUAAACGUAUUACUUAUACUUUACCAUUAAAGUAAAUGCUAAAACUUUAAUGAGUAGGAGGGCGUAUGGAUAAUUUAGAAGAUUGACAGUGAUGUCGAUUGGAAUUAUCUUUAGUGCAGAUCUUGGUGGUAGUAGCAAAUAUUCAAUAGAGAACAUUGAAGACUGAAGUGGAGAAAGGUUUCACAUGAACAACACUUGGAUGUGAGUUAGUCGAUCCUAAACGGUGGGUUAACUCCAAAUACAUGAAUACUUGUAUUCUGUACCGUGAAAGGGAAACAGGUUAAUAUUCCUGUACUAUAUCAAGGAGGU